rnacentral:lncRNA from 1 species
CUAGUUCUUCCCAUGAGAGAUACUCCGAUUUCGAUUUCACCAGACAUACAAGCGAUAAGACAGACACAAUCCAAUCAACAAUCAACAGCACAAAAAGCAAACUAAGCAACAAAGGAACACAAUCAAUGUCUGUAGCCUGCUAGUGUCGAUUGACACCGUCCACACAACUACUCGACAUCACCAAAACAUGUUCUGGUGUCGAUCGUUACCCUUCGCGUACAUCCACGAUUAACACACCUGGUGUCGAUCGGCACCGAUACCCUCGACAUUCUUCUAUCAAUCUUUCCUAAAUAAGAACUCCAACUCUAGUCGACUUCUCCACGACUCAACUCCCAAAAAUAGCCAUACAAGGCCAUCAAUCACAACACAUUACAUAAAAAGUAAAGAAAUAAAUCACACAUCAUCCCAUAAUUCUGAUGAGACAGCCGGCGUCAAUUCAACUUCUUAUAAAAUCUUCCACAAAACAAGCUAGAUCCAACUAAUCCAUACUACGCAUCGACAACCACAACUAUACGAAUGUACUUAACUUCACAAGCUCGUCGACCUUUC